AACGAACGCUGGCGGCAUGCCUAACACAUGCAAGUCGAACGAGACCUUCGGGUCUAGUGGCGCACGGGUGCGUAACGCGUGGGAACCUGCCCUUAGGUUCGGAAUAACUCCCCGAAAGGGGUGCUAAUACCGGAUAAUGUCUUCGGACCAAAGAUUUAUCGACUUUGGAUGGGCCCGCGUUGGAUUAGCUAGUUGGUAGGGUAAAAGCCUACCAAGGCGACGAUCCAUAGCUUGUCUGAGAGGAAGAUCAGCCACACUGGGACUGAGACACGGCCCAGACUCCUACGGGAGGCGGGAGUGGGGAAUAGUGGACAAUGGGCGGAAUGAUGAUGCAGCAAUGCCGCGUGAGUGAUGAAGGCCUUAGGGUUGUAAAGCUCUUUUACCCGGGAUGAUAAUGACAGUACCGAGAGAAUAAGCUCCGGCUAACUCCGUG
rnacentral:rRNA from 1 species